rnacentral:lncRNA from 1 species
CUGUGAAUAAUAUUGUUAAACUAAAUAGAAAUGCAUGGACAUUUAACAAGAGAUUCAUUAUAAGUCAUUCGUUUGUAGUAAAAAAAAAUUUAAUUUAAUGUACCUUAUAUUUUUUUUUAAAUUCUGAGUGGAGCGAGGAAUGUAUUGGGUUUACAAUGAUGUUUAUUUUUUUUUUUUUUUAUGUGAACACUUUUCACCAGAAAGCAUACUCCAAUUAUCAAGUAUAGCACUUUUUCUGAAAGAAAAUGUUCUCUGGGUAAUUUUAGAGAGGUAAUUUUUUGAAAUUCUCAUUGAAAUUUGAGAUAAUGAAGAAAACCUCGGUCAUUAAGUUAAAAAGAUUAAAAGAUUAAAAAUAAGGUUAUCAUUGGCAACCGUUUUUAUUUAUUUUUUGUUAUUAUUAAGUUUUUAUUUUUUUAAUCUGUUUUUAAACAAUCUUUGUUGUUAUGGAAACAUGCAUUAUUGUAAUCAUUUUACUAUAAUAUGACUUACCAAUUGUAUUGUUGACAAAGCCACAUUAUCAAUUGAACUCCACUCAGAAUCGUUUUUUCGUUAGCAAUGGUCUAUCGUUGCUUACAGAUAUAAAUUAAAUUCUUCCCUAUAUACUACCUACCAAACUUCUUACUACAAUAGUGGCUCACCCAUCGUGCAAAAUAUGUCCAUCGUUUUCCAUUUGCUUUUAGUGAAUUAAAAUUUUGGGGUAUAGAUAAUCAAAUAAAAUAAAAAUAGUUUAACGGGUCUUUUGAUAGCCAGUCUGUUAGAUUGUUACGUGUCAUAUUCAAAUAUAUGUACAAAUAGAAAUAUUUAUUAGAGAUAUUUUUUAAAUGUCUAUUUAAAUUAUUGGUCAUAUCAUAUAAUCGCGGUAGGAUAUAUUAAUAAAUGAAUCUGGGCUGGGUUGUAUUAUAUUUAAGUAAAAUAAUUUGGGACGGCACGUAUGACAUUCAACAUAAUUGAAUGAGCUAGGCCAGUAAAUUUUUUAUUUUGGGAGAUCUCGGGCUUGAAAUAUAAAGCCCGUACAGGGCUUUAUUAACUAUUGAAAUUAAAAAUUAAAAAUAUUAAUACAUAAUUUGUUUCAAAAGGUAAACACCAUAUAUUCUUUAUAACAUUUUAAUCUAAUAAAUAAAAUAGGUAUUUUAUAUGUACACGCAUUUAAUUGAUACGUAAAUUUAGAUUUGUAGUAUUAUAAUUUGUAAAUUCAUAUUUUUUUUUUUAUGCUAAAUAUCUAUUGCAAAUAAUUUAAUUUUAUGAAUUAUCCAAUAUGUUUCUAAAGAAAUCUUUAACACCACAGUUAUAAUGUUAUAUUUUGUAUAGUAUAAGGGUAAAAAUAAUUUAAUACAAAUUUAAAUUAUUUAUUUUUUAUUACAUUACAUUAUAAAAUGUAAAUAUAAAGUCGUAUAGCGUUUAAAUAAUAUUCAUUUCUAAUAUAAUUUUGUUAUGAUGUAGUAAAACGUGGUAAAAAGGUAAAUAUUAUUAGUCUUAGUUUAUAUAAUAUUAUUGAAUAUCAGCUGAUAUGUAUUUAGAAAUAAAACUAAAUAUUAUAUAAUAUUUUAAUUAUCAACAAAAUAUAAAAUAAAUAUCAUGUAUUUAGUUCUAGAAUAAUAAUAAAAAAAUGUUAAUUCACUCAUGUAUGUAUUCAUUUUAUUUAGGAUUUAUAAUUGUGCUUUGUGCACAACAGUAGCUAUUAUUAUUGUUAUUUUUUCUUCUUAUUUAUUCAUAUUUUUUUUAUAUGCCUUGCAGUAUAGAAAAGUGUGCAGUUACUAAGUUUAUUACAAUUAGUGGCUUAAUUUUGAAAAUGUCAUACCUAAUAGUUACACUUCCCAAACCCACAAAAUAUCCCGUCUCUCAGUCCACAACUUACGAAAAAUUAAUAGUUGUAAAGUGAAAACUUUAAUGAAGUGCAUUGUGAACUGUGAAAAUUUAAUAAAUUCAUCUAUUA